GACGAACGCUGGCGGCGUGCCUAAUACAUGCAAGUCGACCUUAGUGGCGAACGGGUGAGUAACACGUGGGUACCCUGCCCAUCAGAAGGGGAUAACACUUGGAAACAGGUGCUAAUACCGUAUACUGAUGGAUGGACCCGCGGUGCAUUAGCUAGUUGGUGAGGUAACGGCGCACCAAGGCCACGAUGCAUAGCCGACCUGAUAGGGUGAUCGGCCACACUGGGACGGAGGGACGGACCAACGGCCUACGGGAGGCAGCAGGAGGGAAUCGGCGGCAAGGGACGAAAGUCUGACCGAGCAACGCCGCGUGAGUGAAGAGGGUUUUCGGAUCGUAAAACUCUAAUGUUAGAGAAGGGGUAUCUAACCAGAAAGCCACGGCUAACUACGUGCCAGCAGCCGCGGUAAUAC
rnacentral:rRNA from 1 species